UGCUAAUGCUGGUGAUGCACAGGCACAGUGCAGCAGUUAUCAGAAACAGCUCCCUGGCAAGUAAUGUCGAAUUCCAGCCUCCUCUGGUGGAGUUAAGACCUGCCAUGGUGAACUGACAGUAAGAGAGGAGCUGAAAGAAACCAGCCAGCACUACUCUGCCCUGGGUGAGAGGUUUGAUUUGGGCCGGGGGAAUUGGUGGCCCAGCAGGUCUGCCUGGUCUGCUUGCCUGCCUGCGUAUCCAUCGAUGGAAGUGUCUCUCACCUCAGGCCAGCUAGCGGUUCCUCCUGCCUCCUCCUUUUCGACCUACCGACCGUCAGUCCGCUGAAUGGUAAUUCCCCCUGAUAACCUUGUGGGAGCUGGGAAGGCAGAGAAGGGGGAGAGGGGAGGAAGAGCGAGAAAGGCUCCCGCUCCGUUGGUCUGAGCUUGGUGAGGUGAUCGGUGUGUGGACAGGAGCCAGGCCAAUCUAGCCAUCAAGUGGGCCGUCAGCCGCCCAGCCAACGGGAGACACACUGCUAAUGCACGGCAUCGGUCACCAAGCUGCUGAAACAGCCAUGGGUUGUAAUUAUAUCUCAGAGCAGUGGCCAGGGCAGGGGGCACAGAGGGCAGGGAGCGAAGAGUGGAGAGGCCUCUGGACAGGGGUAUUGGACUGGAAGGAGAGUCAGUGAUUUUGCCUCUUUGCUGCCAUUUUGGUCAACACAAUCGCAAGAGCCUAAAAAAUGAAAUGCCCCAUCAAUAUCUCAGUCUGUUUUUUAAAACUAAAUAAAGGUAAAAUAAUACAAAACACGAGAUCAGUUUUCCAGGUUUAAACAGUGUAUAUUUUUUUUACACUAUUUAUGUAGGUUAAUAUUUCAAAUAUGAAAAGACAGGCAUUUGUCAGUGAGUAAAAAGAACAAUGCAAAGAACAUCUGGAGACGUUGAAACAAACAGCAUGUCUGGAGUCCAGCCACUGAAUUAGCCUUCUCUCUAAUAUUACUAGAAACAAAUCUGGUGAGUUGGUUGUUGAUUCAUGAAUAUGGAAUGGCAAUCAUUACAUUUCAUGGUCAUUACAAAAGUAUGUCAGAAGACGAAGUCCUACAAAUAAACAAACUUUGGGCAUUUUGUUUUGAGGAUUGUAACUCCUUCCCAGGGCUCUAGGUUCAUGCCCACCAGCCGCACACAACAUUAUUGUUGAAGAGGGAAACAUUUAAGAGCCAUUGUUUUCUUUGUGUUGGAGUUUUUGAUGCCUGGCUGGUGAGGAAUGUGUUCUGAAAGUAGCUUUCCCCCCUUCUGCUACACAUCUCUAGUCAUCAACUUUAACUGUCAAUUCACUAUAAUAGGAAAUUAAAAGAGCUUUGUAAUGUACGAGGUUGUUGUUUGAAUUAUUAAUGUCUUACAUUGAAAAAGUCUUCAUAGAAAUGUGUUAGAAACUAUAUAUUUGUAAAAUAACUGUAAAAUGUAUACCGUAAUAUAAAGUAAAGCAUUUUAAAACCUCCAAAAUAAAAUUGAAUCACUC